UUGUGGGUCUGUGCUUAACUUGAAAACCCCCCUAUCAUUCAAUAUUCAUUUUCUUCCACAGGAUUAGCUAAGUCUUUCUUCACUCUUAUUUUUUUGCUGCUAUUCCUUUUUCCUUUUAAAAAAAGAAGUCAGUAAGUUUAUUUAAAAGAAUAUGAGAUAACGAUGACUAUUUGUCAAUAUAAUAUCUUAUAAUAAAAUAUAUUAGUGAUCUUACUGGCACAUGAUUGUAUAUACUUACAUUGGAUAACAUUCACUAAAAAUCUUAGGCCUGAUUCACUGCUGUGUUAUCCUGAAUUUACACUAACGUAACUCCAUUGAUUUCAGCAGAGUUGUACCAAGUUUAAAACCAAAGCAGUGAUGAGACAGACCCUCUUUUUCUUAGGUGAGGUACCUAAAAUGUAACUCUGCAAUUCACAUGCUAAUAAUAGGUGAAUUCUGGAUCUCUACUGAGAUUAGAAGAAUAGGUGAAGUGGUGCUGUAAUGGUAUCACACAAGUGAAAAUGUAAAAAGUGCUUGUGAGGGUCAAAAAGAGGCAGCCAGAGCUAGAACUGAACUGCUCCAUGCACAUACAUUAAUUAAGUGAAAUAAAAGCUUUUCCUGAAUGCUUGGAGAACAUAGAGAUCAGUGCUGUACAGCACAGGACAUGUUAGAAAAAGCUGCUGUUGACACAAAAGAAAGACGGAGGAUAUUGUGGUUGCAGCUGCAAUACAGCUGCCACAUACAAACAAAUUAAAACCCUCCGAGGACCAAAAAACACAAUAAACUGUGACAUAAAUUAAGCAAAUAAACAUUUUUUCUCAGCAGUCCAAGAACACUUGUUUAGAGUUUGGAAAAGCAUGCAAGGAUUUCCCAGCUGCACAAAGAGUCUUUACAUGCCAAAGAAGCUUAAGAUCCAGGUUUGUCUGUUAAAACAGCAUAUGCUCACUCUCCUGAUAACUAGGUAUAAAUAUGAUGUUUUUCCUCUGUUUUUAUCCAUAUUUUAAGGCUUCUAAUCACACACACAGAUCCACAUGGAAACUCUUGCUAUUGGUGUCAAUACAGUAGAAGCUGCACACAUUAACUUUUAAAGUAACUGUUGCACUAUGUAUUGAUGCGCCAACAUAGUUUGCAAAUGGUACUGUAUUAAUAAAGCAGCUAGGAUUUGCUAUGAGGAGGUUUGAUCAUGUGAAACCCGCCAACCCAUUCCACCCCACUCACACUUGGUUGCCGAGAAAGUUUUGCAUUACUUACAAUUUUGCAUUACUUAUGCUGAUUUACAAAACCAUUCACAAGCAGAGCCCAAGUUACCUUUCUGAGUUAGUAACUCUUUCCUCUUCUGGUCAGCUGGGGUCAACUGAUACAGGUCUCUGCAUCUUCGAUACUAAAAUGUGUCACUUUGGGUGGUCGCUCUUUCAGCUAUUGUGCACGUGGAGCUCAUUGCCUAUUGACAUUAGCAAUGUCGCUACCUUCCCUGUGUUUAAAGUCUAAACUCAGGACACAUUUGUUUUCAUUGGCCAUUAGCUGGUUGCAAAUUAUUAUGAAUUUUGAAGGAUGAACUGGUUUUUCUUUUAAAUUUUUAUCAUUGCUGUGAAGUGUUUUGAAAUGCAUCUGCAUGAUAAGGCAUUCAGAGUUGUGGUUUUUUCCCCUUUCAUUUCAUUUUUGUUUUCUAUUUACAAAUACAAUCAGCCAAAGAUACAGCAACACAGAAUAUACAGUGGAAUUAUUCAAGUGCAGAUAGACUAUUUUCUCCCUAAUGUAAAAAUGUUGUAGACCUAAAGGAAGGCUCUACAAGGCAACCCUUUUGAGAAAUACAUAAAAUAAAAUGAAACAGUUACUGUUUUAAAACAAGCAUAAAAUAUUUCACCAAUUGAAAUAGCUAUCAGUCCACCCUAUACAGAACAUUUAACCUUCUAUUGAACUAAAUCAAAACACGGGAACUUUAGUCUAUCAGAAAACAGCCAAUUCAUAAGAGAGGAGUUAGCAUUUUAAAUAAUUAUUUAUUGCUAUUUUAUUAUUAUUCAUUAAGUGCUGCAGGCAUGCUUGGUGUGGUACUAGACACGGAAGAUGACACAGUCCCUGCCUGUAGGAGGUUACGUGUACUGUUUAUCAACAGCUUGAUUACCAAUUGACUGAAGAAGAGAAAAAUUCCAUUUUAGAAAGACACUGCAAUGAAUCAAAUCUAACAAUAGGAAAGUGGUUUAAUAUCCCUCUGCUAGGACAAAUUCCAUCAGACAAAAAUGAUUCCAAAAAGGUCAAUCAUUAAAAAGCAUACAAAAAUAAAUAAGAGUCAUAGUAAGAGAAUAUUGCCACAGGGAAAAAUUCGCUCUCUCACUGGGAAAUACUCUCAAUAAAUGCCUCCAUCACCUCAGCUUUCAUUUAGCAACAGAAGGCCCCCCCAAGAAUGUUUUGUUUUAUUCUAGUGGAAAUGAGUCAGAGGCUGUUCCUCAUUCAUGUCAUUGUGUAAAGGCAUCACAAUAUGAUACAUGAGAUCAUGGAACUGUUCUCAUAUUAAUCCAGUAAACAAGAUGGAAGGCAUGAAUGGAUGAGCCUAACCCUGGCUUUCAUGACUUUUGGAGUAUAAGUGAAAACCUUCAUAGACUGCAUUAUUACAUUUUAUUUAUUUAUUUAGGUCUGAUCAUGAAGUCAAUCAAUGGCUUGCCAUUUAUGUCAACAUGGGAAGGGUCAGGCCUAAAUUCUGGGAUAGUUUUACACUUCCAAAGAUCAAAAUUCAGACUGUGUUGCCCACUUGCUCCUUCCCAGUGAAGCUAGUGUGAUGGCACAGCUGUGAGUCAAUGCAGAAUGUACUCCAAAGUUCAAAAAUAAAGAGACUGCUUGAGAAAAUAUUGUAGUGAUCCAGGCAUGAAUGUUAACCUAUCACAAAUUAGUUCACGUGUUAAUCAGCUGAACAAUUUUCCUGAUAUGUAAUUGGGGAUAGACUUGUAGUGAAGUGCAAUUGUCAGGCCUAUAGGAGAGAAAUUGACUUUUCAUGUCCUGUGUAUUUCUAUAUGUUAUCAUAAAUUCUAAUAAAACGUUAUU